AUGAACGCUGGCGGCGUGCCUAAUACAUGCAAGUCGAGCGAACAGACGAGGAGCUUGCUCCUCUGACGUUAGCGGCGGACGGGUGAGUAACACGUGGAUAACCUACCUAUAAGACUGGGAUAACUUCGGGAAACCGGAGCUAAUACCGGAUAAUAUAUUGAACCGCAUGGUUCAAUAGUGAAAGACGGUUUUGCUGUCACUUAUAGAUGGAUCCGCGCCGCAUUAGCUAGUUGGUAAGGUAACGGCUUACCAAGGCAACGAUGCGUAGCCGACCUGAGAGGGUGAUCGGCCACACUGGAACUGAGACACGGUCCAGACUCCUACGGGAGGCAGCAGUAGGGAAUCUUCCGCAAAGGGCGAAAGCCUGACGGAGCAACGCCGCGUGAGUGACGAAGGUCUUCGGAUCGUAAAACUCUGUUAUUAGGGAAGAACAAAUGUGUAAGUAACUAUGCACGUCUUGACGGUACCUAAUCAGAAAGCCACGGCUAACUACGUG
rnacentral:rRNA from 1 species